UAGUCGUUCUCGCCUUCAGUCAAAUUCCAGAAACAGUUUCGAGGUCUUAUCCAGCACUUUGCAUCUCCAAGUGGAAUGGAGAAGAGGAACCAGUCGAUCAGGUGGAAUUGUUUUCCUUGAUCUACAGGAGUUAAAGGGCAAAAGCUGAACCAGAGAAUUGGCGCAGAUGUUAAAUUCUGCUUCUACCGAACCAAGAGAGUACACUGUCACAUUGACUUCUCAGCUGCAGGAGUCGAAUGGAGCAGCUGGACUGGACGAUACAGAAAGCACAAUGGCCAUAGUUGCUCGAUUGGGUCUUCAGCACAUGAAAAAGAACUAAUUACAGCUCGUCUACUCAGUAUCGCCAAAGCAAGAAAGGAUAUAAUCAAUAUAUACACAAGGAACGUUGAGGAUACUUUUAUACAAGGUCGUUUACCUGCAAGGGACAUAUUUGAAACCCAUAUGAGUAACUCCUCUUAAGCUGGCUAUCUCGGAUGGUGUCACUGUGACAGGCGGAACUGGAAUUUCUCUCCCUGGAAUGUCUUGACUGGCAACUGAUAAAAUCGUGUGUGACUUUUUCUAUAUUGUUAAGGCAAUCUUGGUCUUUUUGCAUAAUGAUGCGUACAUUGCACAUUUACGUGCUUGUUGGGGUUGUGUUUAUUCAACGUUCUUUGUCAACUUCUGAUCUGUGCCAUUGACCAUCAUUACACUUGAUUUUGCUUCUGAGCUGAAAUAUAGUUUUCUGGCCAAA